AUGAAAUUGAGCGCCGGGUCUAAAGUGGUAGGGAGCAGAAUGGAUAACUGGGGUUUGGAACGGCUGGCUGGCCUGAAUGUUGCAGUAGGUGGGAGGUGAGAGAGACGACUGUAGUUAUUUACCGAGGAACAUGGAUCGCUGCCACCAGCUGUUUGUUACACCUCCUCUACACACAACUGAGUACCGGCACACCUGGAGCAGUCAGCCGCUGUAGCACUUGAGAGGGUUGCUUCAAGCACUCUUGGUCAUGCUUGCUGGUUGAAGUGGACGCAGCAGCCUCACUGAAGUAAGAGAUGCCAUCGCAAUCAGUGUGUUGACGACAGCCCA